AUUAGUGGCGGACGGGUGAGUAACGCGUGGAUAACCUGCCGUAUACAGGGGGAUAACACUUAGAAAUAGGUGCUAAUACCGCAUAAGCGCACGGUUCCGCAUGGAACAGUGUGAAAAACUCCGGUGGUAUACGAUGGAUCCGCGUCUGAUUAGCCAGUUGACGGGGUAACGGCCCACCAAAGCGACGAUCAGUAGCCGGCCUGAGAGGGUGAACGGCCACAUUGGGACUGAGACACGGCCCAAACUCCUACGGGAGGCAGCAG
rnacentral:rRNA from 1 species